UACUGUUACCAAACUAAACUCACUAGAUACAAUCUAGAUGUCAAGAUCUGUGCUCGAUAUCCUCUUAUCUAAAAAAUUAUUCUCCUACGGAUCCAAAAUUAAUAUUAAAAUAAAAUCCAUAGUAUAGGAAUUAUCUAUCUAAAACUCUCUAUUAGGGUUUACUAAGUCCACCAAUAAAUCCUCUGGAUCCUUUUCCCCC
rnacentral:lncRNA from 1 species